UUUAGACAGAAACGAUUUCUCAACGGGGGGAGGCUGUGCAGUUUGCUCUCUACCUGUGUCCCUCAGAACAGGUUAAGCCAGAUGCAAUGUCUUUUGGGCUAUUUCCCAUGCAUAUUUGGUCAAUCUUCUUGCAUGAUAUGGCACUUUCACCAUUGGACAUCCAAGACUUGUAAAUAAAUCUACACUCUAAAAAUAAAAGGUUCGCUGCAGGAUCCUGCAGGUUAAUUUAAGCACCUUUCAGGUUAAUUUAAGCACCUAUACUCUGCCAUCAGUUCGUUUCUGAACCUUUGUCGACUUAAGGGGUGCUUUGAAGAACACUUUUCAGAAGAGAAGUUCGUUUUGGAACCAGCAGUGGACUCGUGCAUAUAAUUAAAAUUGAGAACGUUGCUCAAAAGAGGAAGCCUGAAGCGCGCGGUUUGUUGGAGAGACGGGACAGAUAAGAGAUGACUUGCAACAGAUCGACGUGAAAGGAGGCAAGGCAUGAUAGAGAAUAAAUACAAAAAAGAACGUCAGCCGCUUGCUCACGUUGCAAAAGUACAGGAAAUGCAGAAGAGGUUUGGGAGAUUGAGACUGGUGAGGAUUCAUUCAGUCAGAAGUUACAUGUUGAAAAGAUGCAGGUGGAGUGCCAAAAGAGACCUAAGUUCCCUACAAGGCAAAAAUGAAAAGGACUGAAAAAUAUAAAUUUUUCUGAAACAAGGCACCAAGGACAUCUUAAAACAGUAACCCGCACUCUAUUUUUUUUAGCCAUUAAUCAUUGCAGAAACUGAGAAGAGGGGUGUGGCUAUGGAGUUGCUGAAUCUCUACAAGACACUUCUCACACGGAGGAGGCUCACAAUGGUUUGAAGGUCACUGCAGCCAUUUUGUGCCUCUUACCUCUUCAAAGAAGAUCCAAGUGGCUGUACGUCAGACAGGAACAAUAGAGGGGAAUCCCUGUUCAGAUGAAAGCCACAUCAAGCUCUUCCUGGAUGGAGAAAAGCCGGAGGACAUCUCCAUGGGAUUGGGAGUGGCAAUGGGGGUCAUUUCCUUCAUAUUGAGUAUGCAGCAUCAGUAAAAAGCACUAGGCUGUUAAUUCAGAAAUGUGUUCUGGGAAUUGAUGAGGGGUUAAAUUACCAACAAUUGUUGUAUGAAUGGCAAACUUUUUGCUGUAGAAGGAUAAGGGAAAUCUGAGAUUUCUGUGAUGUUUGCAAGUGAAUGUGACUUUAGUCGAUAAAAUUAAGUUUGCCACUCAAUGUAAUUUGUAUUGUUACAAUUCAUAAUAGAUUACAUAGGACAGGUUCCUACAGGAACCUUAACACCCUAAAAAGGUGCUUUGAGGAAACUUUAAAAGGUUCCUCAGGGAAAAGGUUCCUGGAAGCACCAUAAGGGGAUCUGCUGGUAUUGCAAUCUGAGGAACCUUUUUUUAUAAUGUACACUAAGCACAUCAACCUGCCUUCUGAUUUCAUGCCCUAUUUUACAUCAGUGUGUUGUAGACCAAAUAUUGAAAAGAGUGGUCUGGUGGCCUCAGACAUUUGUAGUUCGACAAGUCAUUACAUUUCUUUUACUUGAAUUGACUUGUGCUUAGAAUACCCGACUUGCUUGUGACUGUCCCACCUUUGCAUGGCUGUAACAAGACACUCAGAAUGUAUUGGUUGGAUUUGAGGGUGAGGUAUUCCAGAUCGGAAGAAAAGGACUUGUUCCUGUAUGUUGCGACAAUCACACCAUGAGUUAUGAAACACCCCUCACAUUUUCCUGGAGUUAUUUCUUCCUACCCGUACGAUGGAUGAGAACCCUGGCGGGUGGGUUGGCUAGACAAAUUGAAGAACCACAUUUCUGUACAGAUUGUCGCAGUUCCUUAUGUCCCUCUGAAAAAAGGUCCUCGCACACCUUAUUUUAGAGAAUUUACAUUAGCAAGUAAUAUAAGCAGAAAGCCUUAGUCCUUUAAAAUCACGGACACCUGUGCUAAUGUCAUGCAUGGUCACUGACACUAACAAAUUAUGGCCAUUCCCAUGGAUGCGUUACAUUUCUUUUGUACCUGAUAUUCUAUCAUUUAUUGGUGACUUUCUGCUGUGUUGUGAAAUUUGUUCUAUUGGCUUAUGUCCCUAUCCUUCUGGGAUGUGAUUGCCAUGUCACUGGUCCGGCCAUCAAAUAAAUACAAAUGUUUAUCCAGGCGAGCAGACUUAAGGUUAAAACUAGGAUGUCUCCUUCAAGCUCACAUUUAAAGGUCCAGUGCAGCUGUUUAUUUCAAUUGAGUAUCUUACUGUGAAUAAUGGUCAAUGAAAAACAAUUGCUUCUAAGCAAAGUGCCAUUUUUCAAACAGAAUUAAGACUGAGGGGUCUAAUUGGAGGUAUAUGUAACCGGAAAACCAGAUGUUAUUGGUCUAGUGAUGUCAACUGGCUGUCCAAAAACCCCACCCAGCCAGACAAGCUGAAAUGUCAGUGGGUCUUUAAGCAGCUUACACUAAAGUGCAUUCAGAAUUUUAGUAUGAAAAUCAGGAAUACCUUGCCCCUUUAAAUUUAGCUUAACUGUUUACUCAUGGGAAUUGGCAAAAUUGAAAUGUUCCUUAAACAGUUCACCUGCCAGGCCAAACAUUAUUCUCUACUUUGUAUUUGUUACUGAAUUAUCGAGUUAAAAAUGUGGGUUAGGUACAAAGACCAAAAAUGACACGGGUGUGAGAGACUAUGGUCUCAGUGGCACCACAACGCCAAAGUGUGCAGAGUUAUUGUCAAUGCUUUUUGACAACUAUAACCACAUUACUCUAACUGGAUGGAAAAGUCAAUAUUUAACAGGAAGUGUCUUUAUAAAAGCCAACUGAAUGUUGUUUUGACAUGGUGGGAUCUUUGUAAAUGGCAGUGGAAACACAUGUGAAGGUUGUUUCAUGAAC